rnacentral:lncRNA from 1 species
UUGAAUCCAAAAGUACCACAAAUCAAAACCAUGUGCAGUUCUUUGAAAAAAAAAUAGUGAUUAGCUCGAAAAAGAAAAAUAGCACAUAAAGAUGAAGUUUCUGUUUCUUUNUUCAACAACAUAUCGAGGCCAGCUAAUAGCAGAUAAGUAUAUCCUCUUUUCAGAAAACUAAAAACCAAAAAAGAAAAUGUUUCAAAGAAUCAAUAGUUUUCCAGAGCUUCCUUUGCUUUCAACAAUAACAAAAUUGAUGAAGAUUAUUUCAUAUAUUAUGGUACAAUCAAAGCAGUUAUGUUGGAUAAAACUAUAUAAGAAUAAGAGUAUAACCAAAGCUGUAAGAAAAGUACAAACUUGAGGAACUACCAAAACUGUAAAAAAGUGAUAAGCCUAUAUAUCCCUCUCAUAACACAUAUCAAAUCAAGAUAUUAACGUCUUAAUUGUUCGCCUCACCCUAUAUAGUAUAAUGGAAUUAAAGCAAGAGAACAAUGUGAGUGAAAUAUUUUGUUACUAAUCUUAUUCACAGUGUAGGGACGAUCCUUUCUAAACUCACUCUCAUUUAUAUGUUGAACCUUGAAGAGAAUAACUUGACCAAUCAAACUAUUUUCAAUAUCAGGGGCACUUACAUCAGAUUUUUCAACCUGGUAAACACACCAUGAUUUAGAAUGUAAGAAUAUAACAAUAGGUAAACAAAGUAGAAAAACAUUAAAAAAUAUAUAUACCUCAUGAUAUUGAGCAAUAACUUCAGUUGCUUUGCUGCCCAAUAACUUUAAACUCUUUCUAUCCUACAAAUAUAUACCUACAUAGUAUAUCACAAUCCAUACAUAAAUACUAUAAAUAAAUAAAUAAAACAUUUUAACUCAAAAAAAUGCAAGAGGAUGUUCUUUGUGUACUCGAUAUAGCCUUGGAUGCCAUGAUGUAAUCUCCACAUCUAAACAUCUCGACUAUGGUCCUCUCCAACCAUGCUAGCACCUAUGCCAUGGUGCCUUGGUGGAAGAGCUCACAUCUAACUCAUUUUAGUUAGAAUCAACACGUCAAUAUUAAGAUUGAUGAUCAACUUAUGGCAGAGAAAAGUAUCACAAUUUCUAUCACGGUUAGUAUAGGUAACUCUUUCAAAAUGCAAUAUACCUUUCCAUUAAAUCUUGAGUAAGAUAGAUGGGAGUCAGGUUAAUGUCAUUUGUUGGACUAAAAAAAAUUGCACAACACGUAUAUCAUCAAAACUAAGAACAACAUCAGCGUGUUCAUGUGUUAAAUCUACAGAAAUUAUAAAAUUGGUCAAGUCGAACAAUUAGUUCUCGAUUAUAUAUAUUAGUCAAUAAACCUAAGACAACAUCCUGGCUAUUGGACUAUUUCCCAGAUCAGGUAGUGAGCCUACCUAAGUAUGUAAAAAACAGAAGUUCGGCUCAAACUACCAAAAUCCUUUCGAAAUUAUACCAAGUGACAAACAACUGAAAAUCAUUAUAGAUAUCCAUCAUUUUACAAACAUUCAGAGGAUGCAGUCUCCAUAAAAUCUAAACUUAUUGUUCAAGAUAAAUAAACUUUUACCACUUUUUUUUCAUUCCAUUUCUAUUUUGUUCCUAUAUGGGAAAUAAGAAAAUAGUAAGUAUCAUAAAUCAAAUUCGAGAAGAAAUGUAAAUGAUGACAAAAUAUAUGUAAAACAGUUCAUAUUUUAACCACAUUCCAAUAAUAUCAUAACAUAUACUCAUCUAUUCUAAAAUACAUGCAUUAUUCCAAAAAAUUAUUCUAGACAUGUUUCUCAAUGUUAGUAUCCAAAAUAUAAUCCACAUGAAUUGAUAAUGAAACCAUACAUUACAGAACUUGUAGAGGCUUAAAUAGAGGAGUUUUAAUAACAAAGCAACAUUCCCAAUUUUGUUUCAAAUAAAGAAGAUCACACCGCUCCUAUCGGCAACACUACUGGCACUCUAUUUGUUUAGAAAAGAAGAAAAGAAAAGGGAAAAUAGAUCCAUGAUUAUACCACCUUCAUCCUUGUUAAUUUCAAUUGUUUGAUGCCAAAGUAUAUAAUGAAGAAUAUUCAAUAAAUGUAAAUAAAAAGAGAUGCGAGGCAAUAAUUACCUCUUUCAAUUUCUUGAAGAUACUCCACGCCUCAAAAUUUCUCCAUCUUUUGUCAUCAACUUUACAAUCCUUAAUGCGAGUUCGAACUUUCCCCUCAUUUUAUUGCUGGAAGCCUGGAAACAACAAACAGAUUGGUCGAUUUUUGGAUUAAAAUUUGGGGUAAUCCCUAUCAACUUUAAGAUAUAAGGGUUAAUUUCAUAUGUGGCCAUCGCGAUUUCCGAAAUUGGAGAGAUGAGAGGUUGUGCUACGGGAAAACAGAGACAGCGAGACUACGAAUCACAAAGUACCUUAUCUAUGACUUGCAAAAAAGACCAAAUUUUGUAAUGUUCGCUCUAUGUGACUGAAUAGGGUGUAUGUUUUCCUUACUUUCGAUUCAGAAUCGAAGAGAAUAGGGAGAGAUGAGAAAGAAUCUAACCGAUAGAUCUCUUCUUCCUCGGCAAUGUGGCAUCUUGAUCAUCCCCAUAUGUGUCUUCCAUAUUGUCGCUCUUAGAUCUGGUCUCAUGCUCUGUAUCUGUGCUUCUUCUUCCAUUAAACAUUUACUGUGCUUCAAUUCGAAACAGUUGCAUCCUAGUUAAUACAUAUAUGGAUGGAGAAUAGUAGGAGAAAUUAAAUUGAUUUUGAGAAAUAAUCGUAUUGUGAUCGAACCGUCUGAGAGAGAUAUCAAAUUGCUAUGGGGAGAGAACCGUGGGUGAGAGAAAACUGUUGUUGACUUGUUGUGAUAGAACGUGUGAGAGAGAAUUUUUGGCGGUAAAAAAUAGCCGUUAAACUCAUUUUAUAUAGAUUAACCGAGGGUGACCCUCGUAUCUGUUUCCCUUGAGUAACAGUAUUUUUAGCUCAGGCCCAACUCUAAAUACGGGCUUCCCUCUUUAUUUUACUUAUCUAUCA